rnacentral:rRNA from 1 species
CCUACGGGAGGCAGCAGUGAGGAAUAUUGGUCAAUGGGCUUACGCCUGAACCAGCCAAGUCGCGUGAGGGAAGACUGCCCUAUGGGUUGUAAACCUCUUUUGUCAGGGAGCAACGCCGGCUACGUGUAGCCGGACUUAGAGUACCUGUAGAAAAAGCAUCGGCUAACUCCGUGCCAGCAGCCGCGGUAAUACGGAGGAUGCGAGCGUUCUCCGGAUUUAUUGGGUUAAAGGGGUGCGUAGGCGGAAUGCCAAGUCAGCGGUAAAGUCUCGGGGCUCAACCUCGCUCCGCCGUUGAAACUGGCGGUCGUGAGUGGGCGAGAAGUAGGCGGAAUGCGGGGUGUAGCGGUGAAAUGCAUAGAUAUCACGCAGAACUCCGAUUGCGAAGGCAGCAUACCGGCGCGCAACUGACGCUGAAGCACGAAAGCGUGGGUAUCGAACAGGAUUAGAUACCCGUGUAGUC